CCUACGGGUGGCUGCAGUGGGGAAUAUUGCACAAUGGGCGCAAGCCUGAUGCAGCCAUGCCGCGUGUGUGAAGAAGGCCUUCGGGUUGUAAAGCACUUUCAGCGGGGAGGAAGGCGGUGAGGUUAAUAACCUCAUCGAUUGACGUUACCCGCAGAAGAAGCACCGGCUAACUCCGUGCCAGCAGCCGCGGUAAUACGGAGGGUGCAAGCGUUAAUCGGAAUUACUGGGCGUAAAGCGCACGCAGGCGGUCUGUCAAGCCGGAUGCGAAAUCCCCGGGCUCAACCUGGGAACUGCAUUCGAAACUGGCAGGCUAGAGUCUUGUAGAGGGGGGUAGAAUUCCAGGUGUAGCGGUGAAAUGCGUAGAGAUCUGGAGGAAUACCGGUGGCGAAGGCGGCCCCCUGGACAAAGACUGACGCUCAGGUGCGAAAGCGUGGGGAGCAAACAGGAUUAGAUACCCUAGUAGUC
rnacentral:rRNA from 1 species